GCAGGGAAGCGAUUAGCGCAAUCUCGAAUUCGUGACCGCCGUCCGCGAUUUGAAAAUCGUUUAUCGAAUAUAACUUGUCCGAGAACCUGCUAUAAAUUGAAAUUUCUAUAGACAGAACUAAACAGUUACUUGUGGUCUGCCAUUGAAGAUCAGUUGGUUUCAAGCAACGUUCAACAUUUUGUCAUUGACACUUCACAGGUGCGUGAAUUUCCGGUAAGUACCAUGAAGAGUUGGCUGAUAAGUGGAACGCGCGCGAUAAGACUUCUCUGCAUCUUCCUUCUGGUGCAGUCGUUUUUGGUUACUUCGUCGAAUUCUGAACCCGAAACGUGAUGGCUGUAACCCCUGCGGUGGAAUGCAGAAUUUUACGUAGAUGUAACAUGGCGUUCAACCCAAAGUUUAGACCCAAAUGGUGCAGAAAAUUUUCAGUCUCUUAAAAUUUAUGAUUCACAUAUCUUUGUUCUUGUUCUUCAUUGCAUUGACGUUGCAAGAUUCAAAGGACGUUGAUUACUAAUUGGUCGAUUAUUAGCUCACUGAUUUUCUGUAUUCAGAAUCCUGUUCUUUGUCAAUUGAAUUACAAAGAAUGCAAUAAACAAGAUAACGCAAACAUCGAAUUUGUUAUGAUUUAGAUAUAAACUCUACUUAGAACAUUUUUACAACUACGAAAUUCAGUCUGCUGAUUGACUUACAGAUGAAUGUGCUUGGAGUAUACAAUGUAUUAAAAGCAACAAAUAUUUUGAUACGAUUGGGGUUAGGGUCCA
rnacentral:misc_RNA from 1 species